rnacentral:rRNA from 1 species
CUCGCUCUUCCUCCUUGCAGAGAGCCCGGACCCCUCCGUCAUGUCCAGCUUAGUCGGAUCGACGCCACCCGGGAGCUCCCAGUCGAAAUGGUAGAGAAGGCUGGCCAUGGCGAGCUCCACGUUGGCGAGGGCGAACAAUACGCCAGGGCACAUCCUCCGGCCUGCGCCGAACGGGAGGAACUGGUAGUCCGUCCCAUAGAAUUCCACCGCGCUGCCGUCGCCUUGGAAUCUCUCCGGCCUGAACUCGUCGGCGUCAGCGCCCCAGCUGGCGGCGUCGCGGCCAAUCGCCCAGGCGUUGACAAGCACCAUGGCACCCUGGGGCACAUCGAAGCCGAGGACGCGGCAGGGCUCCCGGCACUCCCGCGGGAGGAGCAAAGGGCCUGUGGGAUGCAGCCGCAGAGUCUCCUUGAUGACCAGAUGCAGGUAGGGGAGGUCGCGCAGGGCGUCCUCCGAUACGCGGGUCUGUCCGGCGAGGGCGCGUCGCACCUCGGACUGCGCCUUGUGGAGCGUGGUCGGGUUCCGUAUCAGCUCCGCCAAGGCCCACUCCAGCGUCGUUGCGAAGCUCUCGCUCCCGGCGGCGAAAAGAUCCUGCAGGCUUACGAGGAUGACGGCACGGAUGGUUCCCAUGUCGAGAGGCACACCGUCAAUCUGUGUCCUGAGCAGCACGUCGAGGAUGACCUCUUCCUUGCCGCCGGUGCCAGCCGACCUCCUUGCUUGGCUGAACUUGGCAGCCAUCUUUACGACCUGCCGCUUCGCCUCCAGGUAGGCCUCGCGCUCGGUGAUCCAGUCGCCCACCACGGAGCGCGUCGUGACGUCGGUGACGAACCUGGACAGCAGGGAGCUGAGGUUGACGGGCUCCUUGCAGGACCGCGAAGCCGACGCCGACGCGAUGGACGCCACGAGGCUGGAGACCUCGGCCUCGCGGGUGACGCGGAGCCCUUUGACGCGCCGCGCGCUAAGCAGCUCGGUGGUGACCAGCUUGCGGAGCUGGCGCCAGUGGUCGCUGUUGGGCGCGUAGAUGACGCCGAGGCCGUCCUUGGUGAGCGCGCGGAGCGUGGCCGUCUGCGGCCGCGUGGCGAACGCGGCGUCGUGGGUCUUCAUGACCGCCAUCGCCGCUUCGGCCGACGACGCGACCACGAGGGGGAGCUCCCCAAGGCGGAGCAGCAUCAGCGGGCCGUGCCGCCCGGCAAGGUCUCGCAUGACAUGGUGUGGGAGUGCGCCCGCGAGGCUCACGAGGUGGUGCAGGCUGCCGAUGACCGGCAGGCGCCAUGGGCCGGGAGGCGGGUUGUUGCCGUCUUUGUCUUUGCGUUGCCGGAGCCGGAGCUUGAGGACGAGAAGAGG